AAUUGAGAGACCUGGCAGGGUAUCUGGCCAGUCUUUUGUUGAGCUAGCUGGGCAGGCUUGAGCCCUGAGGAUCAAACUGGGGAGCAAUGGGAGAAUUCUGGAGAGACUGCUGAUGGAGGGAAGAGGACCGAGCCCUAACCUCUCUGCAUCCUUCCCUCCACAGAAGCAGCCAUCCAUCCAGAAGCUGCCUCCGGUUGGUUCUGUUUGUCUGGAUGACAUCGUAGGUGGCCGGCAUCUCUGGCUUUGGGUCCUGCACUACAUUCCAGAUCUGAGGAGGCAUAGCUGCCCCGGGGUUACUGGGCUUGGACUUGGACGAGAGCAGUGGUAGGAAGGAUCUCAUAUAAGUCAUGUAAGACAUAGAAUGUUCAGAUCAACUGAAGCUGAAACAAGCCUUUGGCAUCAUAUACAACCCAGAGAGGGACCCAGGUUAUCCAGCUGCAGGUCCCUUGAAUGCUUGGUUUA
rnacentral:lncRNA from 1 species